GAGCAAACAGGAUUAGAUACCCUGGUAGUCCACGCCCUAAACGAUGUCAACUAGUUGUUGGGGAUUCAUUUCCUUAGUAACGUAGCUAACGCGUGAAGUUGACCGCCUGGGGAGUACGGUCGCAAGAUUAAAACUCAAAGGAAUUGACGGGGACCCGCACAAGCGGUGGAUGAUGUGGAUUAAUUCGAUGCAACGCGAAAAACCUUACCUACCCUUGACAUGCCACUAACGAAGCAGAGAUGCAUUAGGUGCUCGAAAGAGAAAGUGGACACAGGUGCUGCAUGGCUGUCGUCAGCUCGUGUCGUGAGAUGUUGGGUUAAGUCCCGCAACGAGCGCAACCCUUGUCUCUAGUUGCUACGAAAGGGCACUCUAGAGAGACUGCCGGUGACAAACCGGAGGAAGGUGGGGAUGACGUCAAGUCCUCAUGGCCCUUAUGGGUAGGGCUUCACACGUCAUACAAUGGUGCAUACAGAGGGUUGCCAAGCCGCGAGGUGGAGCUAAUCCCAGAAAAUGCAUCGUAGUCCGGAUCGUAGUCUGCAACUCGACUACGUGAAGCUGGAAUCGCUAGUAAUCGCGGAUCAGCAUGCCGCGGUGAAUACG
rnacentral:rRNA from 1 species